rnacentral:lncRNA from 1 species
CUUCUCUUCUAGCUGCAGCUGCCACUGCCGCAGCUGCCUCCCCUUCUCCUCUUCCUCUCUUCUUCCCUUUUCCUUUCUCUUCUUCUUCCUUUCCCUCUCUUCUUUUCCAGCUGCACUACUGCAGUCGCAGCCUCAGCCACAACCGCAGCCUCUUCUUCCUCCCCUGCUCAUCUUCCUCUCCUUCUUCUCUUCCAACUACAGCUGCCAUCGCCGGAGCCGCAGCCCCUUCGUCCCCUUCUCUCCUUCCUCUCCUUCCCUUCUUCCUUCAUCUUCCACUUUCCCUGCCACAGCUGCAGCUACCACAGCUGCAACCGCAGCUACUUCUUUCCCUUCUCCUCUUCCUUCUCCUUCCUUUCUUCUACUUCUCUUCUUCUCCUUCCUCCCCUUCUUCUC